rnacentral:lncRNA from 1 species
ACUUAAUGACACAGCAAGAAUGGUACUAGGGAAACCACCCCCGCCAUGGGUAUGCCCAAGACAACGAUAUGGAUCCUAAGUACUGUCAUAGAGAUGGAAGAUGUGGAAGGCAGCAUAAUCUGGAUUUAAAGCGCUCUGAGAUCCAUCCUUGGGAAAGUGACAGCUAAGCCGAAACCUCAAGAUGAGUUACACGUUUGUGAGACAAAAAAAUGGAAAGGGGCAUGGAGGAGUGAAGUCCAAUAGAAAAGGGUUAAAGUGAUGCUUGUUGUAUAGGUGACAAGUCUGGGGAGCAAGCAUGAGAGUGAGAGAGCGAGUGAGCAAAAGAAAUGACUAGUGACCAGUUGAGAAAGUCCUGUCUUCCAUUGAGCCAUUUCACUCCUGCCCAUCUACUCUCAACUGCUCAAGAGCCGCUGAACCCUCUGAACACUGUGAGGAUCAGAUGAGACAACGUGUGUGAAAACACCUUACAAAUACAAAGCUGUGAAGAUGUAAAGGAUGGUUAUUACAGAAUGGAGAUUCUGCUUCUCCCUUGCUUCCAGUCCACGUUCGGUGUCACAAAUCUUCGAGAGGACUGGAAGUCUAGCAUCCAACAUUACUGCGUGCACAAUACAGACACUGUUUGCCUUGUAAGAUUCUUUGUCUCACUGGAUCUUCUGAACUCUGACCUCUACCCAUUAUUGAAAAAACUUAUUCUUCCCUUUUGCUGCCCUAGAAAGUACUGUCUCUCCUGUCUGCCUCUGGGCAUCAGGGACAUACCUCUUCAGUGUAGACUUUUACAAAAGCCAAGAGGAGCUAUAGGAUUCAGGCAGUUCCCCUCUAUGUCCUAUAAACCUCCUCUCCUGCCCCAGAGAUAAGACGUACAAAGUGCCUGGCCACCUUCCUGGAAGUGUUGAGGUGUGCAUAGAGUAAAACAUGAAACUCAAAACAUUAUUCUGCUCCAGUGGCAUAACAAAUAACUUCUCUUGGCUUCAGCAUGGCAAAAUUUUGGUGAACACACUCCAGG